UCGUGGGGGCGGAACGUGCUCGCUUUUUGUCUUGUGACAAAUCUAUGUAACUUUAUUCGAGAGCGUCGCGAGAGAAGUUAAUGCUGUUUGUCUCGCAGUAGCUCGGGGGAACGCGCGAAUUGCGCGGCCAAAAAGUUUGCGAAACACCGAAAACAGGGUGAACUAGUCGACGUGCCCUGCUUUACCACCGGAAGCAGGCCAAGGAUGGACGUUUUUUUAUUACAUCCUCGACGAUCCCUUUGAACUAAAUGGUUAAUGGACGUUAAUGGGGGAUGGAUUGAUUGACUCGGUAAAAUAAAGCAUUCACGCCAGCAGCAGCCCGCACGAAGUUACAGAGCCCAGCGAACGCAUCUGUUUUUUUCUCAUUUUUUUUCCAUAGCUCUGGAGCUUCGCCAAAGCGCGAGA